ACGAUGAUCUCCAGCUUGCUGGGGGGAUUAGUGGCGAACGGGUGAGUAACACGUGAGUAACCUGCCCUUAACUCUGGGAUAAGCCUGGGAAACUGGGUCUAAUACCGGAUAUGACUCCUCAUCGCAUGGUGGGGGGUGGAAAGCUUUUUGUGGUUUUGGAUGGACUCGCGGCCUAUCAGCUUGUUGGUGAGGUAAUGGCUCACCAAGGCGACGACGGGUAGCCGGCCUGAGAGGGUGACCGGCCACACUGGGACUGAGACACGGCCCAGACUCCUACGGGAGGCAGCAGUGGGGAAUAUUGCACAAUGGGCGAAAGCCUGAUGCAGCGACGCCGCGUGAGGGAUGACGGCCUUCGGGUUGUAAACCUCUUUCAGUAGGGAAGAAGCGAAAGUGACGGUACCUGCAGAAGAAGCGCCGGCUAACUACGUGCCAGCAGCCGCGGUAAUACGUAGGGCGCAAGCGUUAUCCGGAAUUAUUGGGCGUAAAGAGCUCGUAGGCGGUUUGUCGCGUCUGCUGUGAAAGACCGGGGCUCAACUCCGGUUCUGCAGUGGGUACGGGCAGACUAGAGUGAUGUAGGGGAGACUGGAAUUCCUGGUGUAGCGGUGAAAUGCGCAGAUAUCAGGAGGAACACCGAUGGCGAAGGCAGGUCUCUGGGCAUUAACUGACGCUGAGGAGCGAAAGCAUGGGGAGCGAACAGGAUUAGAUACCCUGGUAGUCCAUGCCGUAAACGUUGGGCACUAGGUGUGGGGGACAUUCCACGUUUUCCGCGC
rnacentral:rRNA from 1 species